rnacentral:rRNA from 1 species
AGUAGUUUGAUCCUGGCUCAGGACGAACGCUGGCGGCGUGCUUAACACAUGCAAGUCGAACGAGGUUAAUUGAAGGAAGUCUUCGGAUGAAAUUUGGUUAACCGAGUGGCGGACGGGUGAGUAACGCGUGAGGAACCUGUCUUCUACAGGGGGAUAACGGUCCGAAAGGAUUGCUAAUACCGCAUAAGACCACGAAGUCGCAUGGCUUUGAGGUCAAAGGAGAAAUCCGGUAGAAGGUGGACUCGCGUCCCAUUAGAUAGUUGGUGAGGUAACGGCCCACCAAGUCGACGAUGGGUAGCCGACCUGAGAGGGUGAUCGGCCACAUUGGAACUGAGAUACGGUCCAGACUCC